AUUGAACGCUGGCGGCAGGCCUAACACAUGCGAGUCGAGCGGAGGAAGGGAGCUUGCUCCUGGAUUCAGCGGCGGACGGGCGAGUAAUGCCUAGGAACCUGCCUGUUAGUGGGGGAUAACGUCCGGAAACGGGCGCUAAUACCGCAUACGUCCUGAGGGAGAAAGUGGGAGAUCUUCGGACCUCACGCUAUCAGAUGAGCCUAGGUCGGAUUAGCUAGUUGGUGGGGUAAAGGCCUACCAAGGCGACGAUCCGUAACUGGUCUGAGAGGAUGAUCAGUCACACUGGAACUGAGACACGGUCCAGACUCCUACGGGAGGCAGCAGUGGGGAAUAUUGGACAAUGGGCGAAAGCCUGAUCCAGCCAUGCCGCGUGUGUGAAGAAGGUCUUCGGGUUGUAAAGCACUUUAGGUUGGGAGGAAGGGCAGUAAGUUAAUACCUUGCUGUUUUGACGUUACCAACAGAAUAAGCACCGGCUAACUUCGUG
rnacentral:rRNA from 1 species